rnacentral:misc_RNA from 1 species
AGUGGUGGUAAUUGGGGGAAUUGUUGUAUUGGGUGUCGCAGUCACAAUAUUUGGUACUUACACCGCUCUAUUGCAAAUUGUAGGCCAUUUGUAAUAAUCAGCUAAAGCAUAAUGAUAAUUUUUUAUUAGAAGUUUCUUAAAAUGGAAGGGAGAUGCGGACAUUUGACUGUUUCAACUCUCAUAUGACAAGGCAGUCACUUUAUCACAGAGCUACAAGUCCAAUAACUAAAUUUGUAAUUUUUUUGAUGCUAAUGGUAUUCUAGGUGUUGAAACUAGAUUCAUAAUUCCCGGUUUAUUUAUUGUGUAAGCUUGCAUACAUUUUCGCUUGUAU